UCUGGCGGCGAUGCGCUUAGGGGAAACACCCGUACCCAUCCCGAACACGACGGUUAAGACCUAAGCGGCCGAUGGUACUGCACUGGAGACGGUGUGGGAGAGCAGGUGGCUGCCAGAU
rfam:Blautia sp. An249 An249_contig_55, whole genome shotgun sequence.